GACGAACGCUGGCGGCGUGCUUAACACAUGCAAGUCGAACGGAAAGGCCCUGCUUUUGUGGGGUGCUCGAGUGACGAACGGGUGAGUAACACGUGAGUAACCUGCCCUUGACUUUGGGAUAACUUCAGGAAACUGGGGCUAAUACCGGAUAGGAGCUCCUGCUGCAUGGUGGGGGUUGGAAAGUUUCGGCGGUUGGGGAUGGACUCGCGGCUUAUCAGCUUGUUGGUGGGGUAGUGGCUUACCAAGGCUUUGACGGGUAGCCGGCCUGAGAGGGUGACCGGCCACAUUGGGACUGAGAUACGGCCCAGACUCCUACGGGAGGCAGCAGUGGGGAAUAUUGCACAAUGGGCGGAAGCCUGAUGCAGCAACGCCGCGUGCGGGAUGACGGCCUUCGGGUUGUAAACCGCUUUCGCCUGUGACGAAGCGUGAGUGACGGUAAUGGGUAAAGAAGCACCGGCUAACUACGCG
rnacentral:rRNA from 1 species